UGAGAACACACUAUGUCUUAGGCCCUUUGCCUGGUGUUGAAGAUGCAGCUGGGAUCAAGACAGACACAUCACUUUAUGGAGACCGGCUGAGAUGAGAUGGGAGGAAACAACCAUUUUCACUGGAGUCAGGUAAAGACUGCAGUUUUUCUGCCACGAAAAGAAAAGAUUGCAGAGGAAAAAAAAGAAGACAGGAGGAUCCUUUGUUCUUGAAAAGAGAUGAGAAAUUUCUGCCUCACAACAUCACACAGCUGUUUUAAACAACAUCUGAUGGAAUUGUUGCUGGUUGUAUUAAAAAAUAAUUGAGGAGGUU